GCCCGGAUGGUCUAGUGGUAUGAUUCUCGCUUUGGGUGAACAAUCCAAUCUGCGAGAGGUCCCGCGUUCAAACCGCGGUUCGGGCC